GACGAACGCUGGCGGCGUGCUUAACACAUGCAAGUCGAACGGAAAGGCCCUGCUUUUGUGGGGUGCUCGAGUGGCGAACGGGUGAGUAACACGUGAGUAACCUGCCCUUGACUUUGGGAUAACUUCAGGAAACUGGGGCUAAUACCGGAUAGGAGCUCCUGCUGCAUGGUGGGGGUUGGAAAGUUUCGGCGGUUGGGGAUGGACUCGCGGCUUAUCAGCUUGUUGGUGAGGUAGUGGCUUACCAAGGCUUUGACGGGUAGCCGGCCUGGGAGGGUGACCGGCCACAUGGGGACUGAGGUACGGACCAGUCGCCAACGGGAGGCAGCAGUGGAGAGUAUUGCAGAAUGGGCGGAAGCCAGAUGCAGCAACGCCGCGUGCGGGAUGACGGCCUUCGGGGUGUAAACCGCUUUCGCCUGAGACGAAGCGUGAGUGACGGUAAUGGGUAAAGAAGCACCGGCUAACUACGUG
rnacentral:rRNA from 1 species